CAGUAGCCGCGGUAAUACGAAGGGUGCAAGCGUUAAUCGGAAUUACUGGGCGUAAAGCGUGCGUAGGCGGUUUGUUAAGUCUGUUGUGAAACCCCCGGGCUCAACCUGGGAAUGGCAAUGGAUACUGGCAAGCUAGAGUGUGUCAGAGGAUGGUGGAAUUCCCGGUGUAGCGGUGAAAUGCGUAGAGAUCGGGAGGAACAUCAGUGGCGAAGGCGGCCAUCUGGGACAACACUGACGCUGAGGCACGAAAGCGUGGGGAGCAAACAGGAUUAGAUACCCGAGUAGUCCCUGUCUCUUAUAA
rnacentral:rRNA from 1 species